rnacentral:tRNA from 1 species
GCCCCCGUAGCUCAACUGGAUAGAGCAGCGGACUUCUAAUCCGCAGGUUGGGGGUUCGAGUCCUCCCGGGGGCGCCA